AACCUCCGCAAUGUGAGAAAUCGCGACGGGGGGAUCCCAAGUGCCAUUCUUAACGGGAUGGCUUUUCAUUAGUGUAAAGAGCUUUUGGAAUAAGAGCUGGGCAAGACCGGUGCCAGCCGCCGCGGUAACACCGGCAGCUCUAGUGGUAGCAAUUUUUAUUGGGCCUAAAGCGUCCGUAGCCGGUUUAAUAAGUCUCUGGUGAAAUCCUGUAGCUUAACUGUGGGAAUUGCUGGAGAUACUAUUAGACUUGAGACCGGGAGAGGUUAGAGGUACUCCCAGGGUAGAGGUGAAAUUCUGUAAUCCUGGGAGGACCGCCUGUUGCGAAGGCGUCUAACUGGAACGGUUCUGACGGUGAGGGACGAAAGUUAGGGGCGCGAACCGGAUUAGAUACCCGGGUAGUCCUAACUGUAAACGAUGCGGACUUGGUGUUGGGGUGGCUUUGAGCUGCUCAGUGCCGAAGGGAAGCUGUUAAGUCCGCCGCCUGGGAAGUACGGUCGCAAGACUGAAACUUAAAGGAAUU
rnacentral:rRNA from 1 species